AGUAGCUUGGCCGAUUGGACAAGGCAAGGGUCUACGAAGCCCUCUAGAAUGGUUCGAUCCCAUUAGUUACUA
rnacentral:tRNA from 1 species